rnacentral:rRNA from 1 species
UCCUACGGGAGGCAGCAGUGAGGAAUAUUGGUCAAUGGUCGAGAGACUGAACCAGCCAAGUAGCGUGCAGGAAGACGGCCCUAUGGGUUGUAAACUGCUUUUAUACGGGGAUAAAGGACGCUACGUGUAGCGUUUUGUAGGUACCGUAUGGAUAAGGACCGGCUAAUUCCGUGCCAGCAGCCGCGGUAAUACGGAAGGUCCGGGCGUUAUCCGGAUUUAUUGGGUUUAAAGGGAGCGCAGGCUGAUGAUUAAGCGUGACGUGAAAUGUAGCCGCUCAACGGCUGAACUGCGUCGCGAACUGGUUAUCUUGAGUGAGUUCGAUGUAGGCGGAAUUCGUGGUGUAGCGGUGAAAUGCUUAGAUAUCACGAAGAACCCCGAUUGCGAAGGCAGCCUACAAGGCCUUAACUGACGCUAAAGCUCGAAGGUGCGGGUAUCGAACAGGAUUAGAUACCCUGGUAGUCC